CCUACGGGUGGCAGCAGUGGGGAAUAUUGCGCAAUGGGCGAAAGCCUGACGCAGCGACGCCGCGUGAGGGAUGAAGGUCUUCGGAUCGUAAACCUCUGUCAGCAGGGAAGUACGGUCACUGUGCUAAUCAGCAGUGAAUUGACGGUACCUGCAAAGGAAGCACCGGCUAACUCCGUGCCAGCAGCCGCGGUAAUACGGAGGGUGCGAGCGUUAAUCGGAAUUACUGGGGGUAAAGCGCUCGUAGGCGGUAUGUCAAGUCAAGGGUGAAAUCCCCGCGCUCAACGUGGGAACUGCCUUUGAAACUGGCAAACUGGAGUGUGUGAGAGGAUAGUGGAAUGUCAGGUGUAGGGGUGAAAUGCGUAGAUAUCUGGAGGAACAUCAGUGGCGAAGGCGACUAUCUGGCACAUAACUGACGCUGAGGAGCGAAAGCGUGGGUAGCAAACAGGAUUAGAUACCCGAGUAGUC
rnacentral:rRNA from 1 species